rnacentral:rRNA from 1 species
GCGAGGAGAAUCAGGGUUCGAUACCGGAGAGGGAGCCUGAGAAACGGCUACCACAUCCAAGGAAGGCAGCAGGCACGCAAAUUACCCACUCCCGGCUCGGGGAGGUAGUGACGAAAAAUAACAAUACCGGACUCUUCCGAGGCUCGGUAAUUGGAAUGGGUACACUUCAAAUCCUUUAACGAGUAUCUAUUGGAGGGCAAGUCUGGUGCCAGCAGCCGCGGUAAUUCCAGCUCCAAUAGCGUAUAUUAAAGUUGCUGCGGUUAAAAAGCUCGUAGUUGGAUCUCAGUCUCGGUCGGACGGUCCGCUUUAUAGUGGUACUGGACGAAUCGGACAUUCAGCCGCCUUUCUCAGUAUGCUCUUUACUGAGUGUAUUGGGACAGUGGCGCUUUCACUUUGAAAAAAUUAGAGUGCUCAAAGCAGGCUCACGCCUGAAUCUUCGUGCAUGGAAUGAUGGAAUAGGGCCUCGGUUCUAUUUUGUUGGUUUCCGGAACUCGAGGUAAUGAUUAAGAGGGACGGACGGGGGCAUUCGUAUUGCGACGUUAGAGGUGAAAUUCUUAGAUCGUCGCAAGACGAACUACUGCGAAAGCAUUUGCCAAGAAUGUUUUCAUUAAUCAAGAACGAAAGUCAGAGGUUCGAAGGCGAUCAGAUACCGCCCUAGUUCUGACCAUAAACGAUGCUGACUAGCGAUCCGUCGGCGUUACAACACAUGACCCGACGGGCAGCUUCCGGGAAACCAAAGUUUUUAUGUUCCGGGGGAAGUAUGCGUUGCAAAACUGGAACUUAAAGGAAUUGACGGAAGGGCACCACCAGGAGUGGAGCCUGUCGCUUAAUUUGACCCAACACGGGAAAUCUCACCAGGCCCGGACACUAGCAGGAUUGACAGAUUGAUAGCUCUUUCUUGAUUUGGUGGGUGGUGGUGCAUGGCCGUUCUUAGUUGGUGGAGUGAUUUGUCUGGUUAAUUCCGAUAACGAACGAGACCCCGUCCUACUUACUAGACCGAGGAUCCUCUCGUUCUCGCGUCUUCUUAGAGGGACAAAUGAUUUUACCUUGAACUACAUGAAAUGGGGCAAUAACAGGUCUGUGAUGCCCUUAGAUGUUCUGGGCUGCACACGCGCUACACUGAAGGGAUCAUCGUGUUAACUAGCUCGAGAGAGCUUGUCAACCCGUUGAAUUCUCUUCGUGCUAGGGAUUGAGGCUUGCAAUUGUUUCUCAUGAACGAGGAAUUCCCAGUAAGUGCAAGUCAUAAGCUUGCGCUGAUUACGUCCCUGCCCUUUGUACACACCGCCCGUCGCUACUACCGAUUGGAUGAUUUAGUGAGGACUUCGGACUGGCUGCUCGUGGGGUAAAACCUGCAAGCGGAUCGGGAAGAUGUUCAAACUGUAUCAUCUAGAGGAAGUAAAAGUCGUAACAAGGUU